rnacentral:tRNA from 1 species
AGACUGGUAAGUUAAAUUAAACUGUGGGGUUCAUGUCCCCUUUAUACAUGUUAUGUCUAGUUGA